CCUCUCUUCCACAGAAAGCUUGCGUCCGCGGCGGCUCUAUUAUUGCACAAGGUCGCGCGGCGGCGGCUAUUCCCCACCGAAUUCCUCCCCCCAUUUUCUUUGCAAAUUCAUCCACUGACGGCGCUACCCUGGACCGCAGGAAUUGUGGUGUGUUCCCGGUGGAGUCCCAGGAUUCCAUGACUUCUCCAGCUCUAGAGCUCGAGAAGGGCGACGAAGCACUGGUUGGUGGACAUGGGCAGAGAUACGAGGUGUGCUCUGAAGCUACUAGCGGCUAGACGAGGAGGGUGAGGCUAGUGAAGGCAACCUGAAGAGAGGGAGAUGAACCCUGAUAGGAAAACAACACUUGAGUCGUCUGUCCGUGCUUAUGCUGAAAAUCGUGAAGGCCAUGUCAUCAAUCCAAAAAUUGGCACAGAAUUUGACUCACUGGAUGAGUUUUACAACCUUUAUUCAUGGGAAACUGGGUUUGGUGUACGGCUGGCAAAAAGCAGACUCAAUGUGCAAAGAACAAGAUGUAUGCAAGAGAUUGUGUGUGCCUGUGUGGGUUCCCCAUUGAAAGAGAACAGCCGUUCGUCGAGGUGUGGAUGAGUGUGUCGUGCUUGGCGACAGCAAUGUCAAGUGCUAUGAUGUUUUCAUGGCCAUGAUGAAGGAGGUGCAUGCAACUCUGCUUCCACUUAGUGUCGAUAAAGAUGGAAUGGGGCUUGCAGAGAGAGAGAGAGAGAGAGAGAGAGAGAGAGAGAGAGAGAGAGAGAGAGAGAGAGAGAGAGAGAAACAGCAGCAGAUUGUAGCGCAAAAGGAACAUGCAUCUGUGGAUGGCAAUGUUGUGCUGCAAAAAACUACAGGUGAUGGUGAAUCCAGUUGCUCAGCUGUUGGGCUGAAUGAGAAGAAGAGGCAAAGGGGAAGGCCAACGACCAGCAGGGACAAGGCUCCGUAUGAGCAACAACUUAAGAGGCUGCGGUUUUGCACGAUCUGCAGAGAGCAGGGGCACAAAUGUACAACUUGUCGCAGCGAGGUGAUUUGCCGAAGGCUCCAAGAAGUUGCCGAAAUGCACAAACUGUGGUGUCGUCGGACAUGGGCGCAAUAAUUGCGGGACUAAGAAACUUCCUGUAGGCGGUAUGAGUUCUUCAGGAUCCAACCAUUUUCGUUAACUGCCUCCAAUGUGAGACAAUUUUCUUCCCUUGCAUGUG